AUUGAACGCUGGCGGCAUGCCUUACACAUGCAAGUCGAACGGCAGCACGGGAGCAAUCCUGGUGGCGAGUGGCGAACGGGUGAGUAAUAUAUCGGAACGUGCCCAGUUGUGGGGGAUAACGUAGCGAAAGCUACGCUAAUACCGCAUACGAUCUAUGGAUGAAAGCGGGGGAUCGCAAGACCUCGCGCGAUUGGAGCGGCCGAUAUCAGAUUAGGUAGUUGGUGAGGUAAAGGCUCACCAAGCCGACGAUCUGUAGCUGGUCUGAGAGGACGACCAGCCACACUGGGACUGAGACACGGCCCAGACUCCUACGGGAGGCAGCAGUGGGGAAUUUUGGACAAUGGGCGCAAGCCUGAUCCAGCAAUGCCGCGUGCAGGAUGAAGGCCUUCGGGUUGUAAACUGCUUUUGUACGGAGCGAAAAGGCUUCCACUAAUACUGGGGGCUCAUGACGGUACCGUAAGAAUAAGCACCGGCUAACUACGUGCCAGCAGCCGCCGUAAAAC
rnacentral:rRNA from 1 species